rnacentral:rRNA from 1 species
UACGAAGGGGGCUAGCGUUGCUCGGAAUCACUGGGCGUAAAGGGUGCGUAGGCGGGUCUUUAAGUCAGGGGUGAAAUCCUGGAGCUCAACUCCAGAACUGCCUUUGAUACUGAGGAUCUUGAGUUCGGGAGAGGUGAGUGGAACUGCGAGUGUAGAGGUGAAAUUCGUAGAUAUUCGCAAGAACACCAGUGGCGAAGGCGGCUACCUGGACAGAAACUGACGCUGAGGCGCGAAAGCUAGGGGAGCGAACGGG